AAAUAUGUCAAUAUUUAUCAACCAAAUACAUUUAUUAUUAAACAUCUUUUAAAUAAUAAAAAGAGCUAAUAGUUUUAGCAGUUUUUUGCAACAAUAAAACUAACCAAUAAAUAUUACCUAUAUGUUGUCACGUGGCAAGCAACUCAGAGUUACAGAGUUACAAACAUAGCUGUACCAUUUUGAAGAUCUUAUGAGGGGCAAUUGUGGUUAAGCCUCUUGACCAAAGACAUGUUAAUCCACAUACGAGUAUGAAUGAAUGAAUGAAUGAAUGAAUGAAUGUAAACUUACUUUAUCCUCGC